CCUACGGGAGGCAGCAGUGGGGGAUAUUGCACAAUGGGGGGAACCCUGAUGCAGCGACGCCGCGUGGGUGAAGGAGCGCUUCGGCGCGUAAAGCCCUAUCGGCAGGGAAGAAGAUGACGGUACCUGACCAAGAAGCCCCGGCUAACUACGUGCCAGCAGCCGCGGGAAUACGGAGGGGGCAAGCUGUAUCCGGAGGUACUGGGUGUAAAGGGGGCGGAGAUGGCAAUGCAAGCCACGAGUGAAAGCCCGGGGCCCAACCCCGGGACUGCUCUUGGAACUGCAUGGCUGGAGUGCAGGAGGGGCAGGCGGAAUUCCUGGUGUAGCGGUGAAAUGCGUAGAUAUUAGGAGGAACACCGGUGGCGAAGGCGGCCUGCUGGACUGUAACUGACGUUGAGGCCCGAAGGUGUGGGGAGCAAACAGGAUUAGAUACCCGUGUAGUC
rnacentral:rRNA from 1 species